AAUAUAAUAUAGUGGGUAAUACGCCCGCCUACCUAUCUGAACUCGGGAACUAUGGAAGCUGGAGCUACCAAAUUUGCCAAAUCCUACCUAUCUGAACUCGGGAACUAUGGAAGCUGGAGCUACCAAAUUUGCCAAAUCCUGCCUAUCUGAACUCGGGAACUAUGGAAGCCGGAACCAUGAAAUUUCGUAUGUAGUUACUUAUACAGCUGUCAAGUUAGUA